rnacentral:rRNA from 1 species
CACGUAGGGUGCAAGCGUUGUCCGGAAUCAUUGGGCGUAAAGAGCUCGUAGGCGGCUUAGUAAGUCGGGUGUGAAAACCCCAGGCUCAACCUGGGGACGCCAUCCGAUACUGCUAUAGCUAGAGUCCAGUAGGGGAGUGUGGAAUUCCCAGUGUAGCGGUGAAAUGCGCAGAUAUUGGGAGGAACACCAGCGGCGAAGGCGGCACUCUGGGCUGGUACUGACGCUGAGGAGCGAAAGCGUGGGUAGCGAACAGG